CUACGGGCGGCACCAGUGAGGAAUAUUGCACAAUGGGGGGAACCCUGAUGCAGCAACGCCGCGUGGAAGAUGACGCAUUUCGGUGUGUAAACUCCUUUUAUAUGUCAAGAAAAUGACGGUAGCAUAUGAAUAAGCACCGGCUAACUCCGUGCCAGCAGCCGCGGUAAUACGGAGGGUGCAAGCGUUACUCGGAAUCACGGGGCGUAAAGGACGCGUAGGCGGGUUGGAAAGUCAGGUGUGAAAUCCUACAGCUUAACUGUAGAACUGCACUUGAAACUUCUAAUCUAGAGUAUGGGAGGGGGAGAUGGAAUUAGUGGUGUAGGGGUAAAAUCCGUAGCUAUCACUAGGAAUACCUAAAGCGAAGGCGAUCUCCUGGAACAUUACUGACGCUAAGGCGUGAAAGCGUGGGGAGCAAACAGGAUUAGAUACCCUUGUAGUC
rnacentral:rRNA from 1 species